AUUACCUUAGUAACGGCGAGUGAAGCGGUAAGAGCUCAAAUUUGAAAUCUGGCACUUUCAGUGUCCGAGUUGUAAUUUGAAGAAGGUAACUUUGGGAUUGGCUCUUGUCUAUGUUCCUUGGAACAGGACGUCACAGAGGGUGAGAAUCCCGUGCGAUGAGAUGCCCAAUCCUAUGUAAAGUGCUUUCGAAGAGUCGAGUUGUUUGGGAAUGCAGCUCUAAGUGGGUGGUAAAUUCCAUCUAAAGCUAAAUAUUGGCGAGAGACCGAUAGCGAACAAGUACAGUGAUGGAAAGAUGAAAAGAACUUUGAAAAGAGAGUGAAAAAGUACGUGAAAUUGUUGAAAGGGAAGGGCUUGAGAUCAGACUUGGUGUUUUGUGUACACUUUCCUUCUUGGAUUGUGCUUUCGCAUUACUACCGGGCCAGCAUCGGUUUGGGUGGUAGGAUAAUGACAUUGGAACGUGGCUCUACUUCGGUAGAGUGUUAUAGCCUUUGUUGAUGCUGCCUACCUAGACCGAGGACUGCGUCUUUUGACUAGGAUGCUGGCGUAAUGAUCUUAAGCCGCCCGUCUUGAAACACGGACCAAGGAGUCUAACGUCUAUGCGAGUGUUUGGGUGUAAAACCCGUACGCGUAAUGAAAGUGAACGAAGGUGAGGGCUCCUUUUGGAGUGCAUCAUCGACCGAUCCUGAUGUCUUCGGAUGGAUUUGAGUAUGAGCAUAGCUGUUGGGACCCGAAAGAUGGUGAACUAUGCCUGAAUAGGGUGAAGCCAGAGGAAACUCUGGUGGAGGCUCGUAGCGGUUUCUGACGUGCAAAUCGAUCGUCG
rnacentral:rRNA from 1 species